GACCGCGUAGCUCAGUUGGCAGAGCAGUGGGCUAGUAUUCCAACGGUCGUAGGUUCGAUUCCUACCGUGGUCA
rnacentral:tRNA from 1 species